AUUGAACGCUGGCGGCAUGCCUUACACAUGCAAGUCGAACGGUAACGGGCCUUCGGGUGCCGACGAGUGGCGAACGGGUGAGUAAUGUAUCGGAACGUACCUUCAGUGGGGGAUAACGUAGCGAAAGUUACGCUAAUACCGCAUAUUCUGUGAGCAGGAAAGCAGGGGAUCGCAAGACCUUGCGCUGAUUGAGCGGCCGAUAUCAGAUUAGCUAGUUGGUGAGGUAAAGGCUCACCAAGGCGACGAUCUGUAGCGGGUCUGAGAGGAUGAUCCGCCACACUGGAACUGAGACACGGUCCAGACCUCCUACGGGGAGGCAGCAGGUGGGGUAAUUUUGGACAAUGGGGGCAACCCUGAUCCAGCCAUGCCGCGUGAGUGAAGAAGGCCUUCGGGUUGUAAAGCUCUUUCGGCCGGGAAGAAAUCGUAUGGGUUAAUACCCUGUGCGGAUGACGGUACCGGCAUAAGAAGCACCGGCUAACUACGUG
rnacentral:rRNA from 1 species